UACGUAGGGAGCAAGCGUUGUCCGGAAUCAUUGGGCGUAAAGCGCGCGUAGGCGGCCCUGUAAGUCCGUUGUGAAAGUCAAAGGCUCAACCUUUGAAAGCCGAUGGAUACUGCAGGGCUAGAGUCCGGAAGAGGCGAGUGGAAUUCCUGGUGUAGCGGUGGAAUGCGCAGGAUAUCAGGAGGAACACCAAUAGCGAAGGCAGCUCGCUGGGACGGUACUGACGCUAAGGCGCGAAAGCGUGGGGAGCA
rnacentral:rRNA from 1 species